GAGUACGGCCCACCANGNCGACGACGGGUAGCUGGUNCUGANAGGACUACCAGCCACACUGGUAACUGAGUAUACGGUCCAGACUCCUACGGGAGGCAGCAGUGGGGAAUAUUGCACAAUGGGCGAAAGCCUGAUGCAGCGACGCCGCGUGAGGGAUGAAGGCCUUCGGGUCGUAAACCUCUUUCGGCAGGGACGAAGCGAUCAGUGACGGUACCUGCAGAAGAAGCCCCGGCUAACUACGUGCCAGCAGCCGCGGUAAGACGUAGGGGGCGAGCGUUGUCCGGAUUCAUUGGGCGUAAAGCGCGCGUAGGCGGCUGCGCAAGUCGGUUGUGAAGUUCCGGGACUCAACCCCGGAACUGCGUCCGAUACUGCGUGGCUAGAGGUAGGUAGGGGAGAUCGGAAUUCCUGGUGUAGCGGUGAAAUGCGCAGAUAUCAGGAGGAACACCGGUGGCGAAGGCGGAUCUCUGGGCCUUACCUGACGCUCAGGCGCGAAAGCUAGGGGAGCGAACAGGAUUAGAUACCCUGGUAGUCCUAGCCGUAAACGUUGGGUGCUAGGUGUGGGCGGAUAU
rnacentral:rRNA from 1 species